CAAGCUUUUUUUUCAUAUUGAAUUUUGAGCAUUCACAGAGAUGGUUGGAUGAAAGAGAGCUAAUCCUGCUGAAAUACGUUUAGGAAAGCUAUAAUCACAAACUAACAAGAGAACUACUGGAAACGAGCGUUGGCGAUUCCUAGCAAUUAUAAAAUGGUAUUCUACUUAAAAAUACUGUAAAAAAAGUACAUACAUGGGCAAGUUGAUUACAGCAAGAGGUAAACAGGACCAGGAGACCAGAUCUACUGCACAGUUGCAUGCAAUAAAAAAAAGGGCUCCAAAUUGCUUAAACAAUGCAGCAAACUGCAAGAAGUGAUUAUGUUUUUCCAACUUGCAGGAUCAUAAGUCUAUUUUCUGUUAAACUGAAAGUCAACAGUGCCUCAGUGAAGCAGAUAGCACAGAAAUUGCAGCACUAUUGGGGGAAGUGCCUGUAAAUUGUCCCUAUGAACACAAUGAAGUAGAAUUUCUGAUACAGCAACCAAGAAGAUAAGGAUAUGCAGCAGAGAAGAAAUCACAGAGCAACCACACCAGAAAGCUUAAGGAGAUGAGGCUUCCCCGCAAAAAAAAAAAGGAAAAAAGAAUGGAUGUUGAUCAAAUGUAGACUGUAAAUCAAAAUCCCAGAAUCCCCAUGUGCAACUAACAGAAAAACAAUGUUGAACAUUUGGAGCAAAUGUUGAUAUCGGAUUUUAAUCAAAGCUAAACCCGAGAGUACCAAAAUGCCGAUUUGGAGACCUAACAAGAAUCAACAUUUGCAACCAGAACACCCAUCCAAAGGUCCCAAUAAGCCAUAGGUCAUCAUAUAUAGCAAAAAGGAAAGACAGUGCUUUUGUCAAUUCCCCACUGAACCCACCAACCUAGAGUCCUAGAGAUCAGGGGAACCCAGAAAUAACCACCAAGAUCAAUUUUUUUUGAUGAAAUUCAGAUCAUCCAACCCGAGAUCCCAUCCCAACAACCAGCAUCCCAAGAAACAAUCCCUGGGAAAUCCCCUAAAGAAAUCAAUCCGAGGAAAAGGAGGAAGUGAAGAAUACCUUGGGCGUGCGCCGCGACGACGGCAUUCUCCUCUCGCGUCCCGCAGUUGUCCAUCUAUCUCCUGCUGUUGUUGAUGGUGGUGGUGGUGGGUCUCUCUCUUGUAGUGGAGGCCCAAGCUCUCAUUCUUGGGCGGGAUUGGGAGGGGGGGGGGGGGGGGGGGGGGCGUAGGCGAUGCCUAUGCCAUGCGCCGCCGCUAGAGAGGCGAUGCUGCGUGCUCUUCCUCCUCCAGUGGCCUGUGGGGGGCAGCGGAAACGAAGCUUUGCUUUGCUUUGGUUUUGCUUUGCUGUGUGCGCGUGCGGGUGGGAUGAACGGUGGUGGUGGGAGAGGAACGCCUCAGGUCAUGUACGCUGGUGGCCACAACCACC
rnacentral:lncRNA from 1 species